AAAGAGUCCACACUCCACACUCCACACUCGUGUCCACUGACCACUGUCCUUCCCAAAAACCCUCGUCCAUGGCGACCGCGGCACCGCCGCCCGAGGAGUUCGCCCGCGACGCCAUGGCCUACGUAGCCGAGGAGGAGGAGGAGGACCCUGAGGAGGUGGAGCCGUGGGUUUCCUCCGACUCGGAGCCGGACGAGCACCCGGCGCUCGAGCCGCGGGACCCUUCCCCCAACUCGGAGCCGCAGCCGCCGCCGCCUGCACCGACGAAUUCGGCGUCCGAGGUGGCGGAGGAGGGGCAGAAGGCGGCGCCUUGGCCUGGGUUCCCCGGCGCGAGCGUGUUCCGGCUGGUCGUGGCCGGGGACAAGGUGGGCGGCCUCAUCGGCCGCCGGGGCGAGAUCGUCAAGCGCCUCUGCGAGGAGACCCGCGCCCGCGUCCGCGUCCUCGACGCCACGGACGGCGUCUCCAGCCGGAUUGUCUUGAUAUCCGCAACAGAAGAAACACAAGCAGAACUGGCACCUGCUAUGGAUGCUGCAGUUAGGAUCUUCAAACAUGUAAAUGAUAUAGAAGGGAUCAAUCCUGAUGUCACAUUAUCUGCUUCUGCACCAGAAAUUUGUUGUGCUAGAUUAAUGGUUCCUAAAGCACAAGCGGUGCACUUAAUUGGCAAGCAAGGAACCAUGAUCAAGUUAAUUCAAGAAACUACUGGUGCUACCAUGAGGAUUAUAGAUCAAGACGACCUUUUGAGUAAUCAGAUGGUGGUUGAAAGAAUUGUGGAGAUACGUGGUGCUUCCCUCAAGGUCCUCAAUGCCCUAAAAUCAGUACUUGGACUUCUCCGGAAGUUCCUAGUUGAUCAUAGCGUCCUUCAUCUAUUUGAAAGAAAGAACCAAGCAGAAACCGAGGUGCAGGAUAGUUCUAAAGAAAAUCAGGUUACCAAUGGUUAUGCUCCUCCAGUGAACCAGGACCUUUUGUUAUCCUACAGUCGAAGUCCUCUUAACCCGAAUGGCAGCAGAUAUUUGUCAUACGGACAUGACCCAUCUGUUUGUGACCCAUAUUCACCAGAUAUCAGACGCCCAACUGUCUCCAUAAUAUCGAAGAUUACGCAAACGAUGCAGAUCCCUUUGCUGCAAGCUGAAGAGAUAAUUGGUGUCAGGGGACAGACCGUUGCUCAUAUACGUUCUGUCAGUGGAGCGGUGGUUGUCCUCGAGGAAACUGGAAAUUAUCUGGAUGAGGUUCUAGUUUCGAUCGAAGGCACUUCUUCACAAGUUGAGACCGCGCAUCAACUCAUACAGAGAACGCAACCGAAAUCAACUCAAUUUUGGGGAAUUUUGGGAGAUCGAUUGCUGGUGGAUCUGAGCCACAGAACUAGGGUUCGCCAGCCGGAACACGGCGGCUUUAGAGGCCAAGCCCAGAUACAUCCAGAAUGCCCUCUCCACAAGCCGGAGGAGGGUUUAAAAAGGGGUUCGAGCAGGUGAAAAGCAAGAAAGUGACAGGUUCAGAUAUUACAGAGCUGCAGUAAAGUUUAAAGGAAGAAAAACUACUGCGGCCGUUCAUCAGGGGAUCAACGGUUGCGAGCGGGUGUCUUGAGGGCGAAACGGUACGCUCGCUGGAGCCGUAGGAUCUCUGAUCGACGGUUGUAAUGCGCGCUGGCAAAUGAAACGGUCCUACUGCGCGACGGAAAAGUUCUAGCACCCAGGAGCAGCGGCUACGGCAACCCUGACGCUGGCCCGGUCAGGCCGCCGUUCGCCCCGUGUGGCGCUCCAGUGAGCCCGGAGUACGCCCCGCCUCUGUACCGCGAGUACCAGUCAUCGUCCGGCAGCGUCCGCCACUGCUACUCUGCUGCAUACCACGGGUACAGGCUGUAGCACGCGGAGCCGAGCGACUGACCGCGCGCCUAUCCUCCUCAUCGCCGCGCCUAACCUAACGAUCACCACCCGGACCAUGCCUGAUUGAGGGGAAAUUGAAUGGAACGGCUUUGCCGCGACGAUUGAUCCGACACUACACUAGGCCCCAGCAGUUACUUACUUGCCUAUGGUACUCGUCUGCAUAUUCGCCUUUGUCUGAAGAAA